UAAAGGACGAUUGCUGCCGAGAG
rnacentral:misc_RNA from 1 species